rnacentral:tRNA from 1 species
GCCACUUUAGCUCAGCAGGUAGAGCAUCACCAUGGUAAGGUGGGGGUCGCCUGUUCAAAUCCGGCAAGUGGCU